rnacentral:rRNA from 1 species
UGGGGAAUAUUGCGCAAUGGACGAAAGUCUGACGCAGCGAUGCCGCGUGAGUGAUGACGCCUUUCGAGGUGUAAAGCUCUGUCAAGAGGGAAGAUUAUGACGGUACCUCUAAAGGAAGCAACGGCUAAUUACGUGCCAGCAGCCGCGGUAAUACGUAAGUUGCAAGCGUUAUCCGGAUUUAUUGGGCAUAAAGAGUGCGUAGGCGGUAUAUUAAGUCAGAUGUUAAAUUCCACAGCUCAACUGUGGCUUGCAUUUGAAACUGAUUUACUAGAGAUUAGGAGAGGAAAGUGGAACUCACAGUGUAGCGGUGAAAUGCGUAGAUAUUGUGAGGAACACCAGUGGCGAAGGCGGCUUUCUGGACUAAAUCUGACGCUGAGGUACGAAAGCAUGGGGAGCGAACGGG